GCUCAGCCAUAAACCAAGGUGGUACAAACACAACACCACCCGCCAGAGAACUACAAGUGAAAAGCUCAAAACUCCAAGGACUUGGCGGUGCCCCAUAUCAGCCUAGAGGAGCCUGUCCUAUAAUCGAUAAUCCACGCUCUACCCAACCAUCCUUCGCCCUCAGCCUAUAUACCGCCGUCGUCAGCUUACCCUAUGAAAGAAGCACAGUAGGCAAAAUAGUCACUAACUAACACGUCAGGUCAAGGUGUAGCACAUAAGAUGGAAGAGAUGGGCUACAUUUUCUCCCACAGAAAACACGAACAGCUCAAUGAAACCCGGGCUAGAAGGCGGAUUUAGAAGUAAGACAGACCAGUAUUUCUGUCUUAAAUUCGCUCUGGGGCGCGCACACACCGCCCGUCAC
rnacentral:rRNA from 1 species